UCGCCUUCACUGCAAGUCGAAUAGGCAGCACAGUAAGAGCUUGCUCUUAUGGGUGGCGAGUGGCGGACGGGUGAGGAAUACAUCGGAAUCUACCUUUUCGUGGGGGAUAACGUAGGGAAACUUACGCUAAUACCGCAUACGACCUUCGGGUGAAAGCAGGGGACCUUCGGGCCUUGCGCGGAUAGAUGAGCCGAUGUCGGAUUAGCUAGUUGGCGGGGUAAAGGCCCACCAAGGCGACGAUCCGUAGCUGGUCUGAGAGGAUGAUCAGCCACACUGGAACUGAGACACGGUCCAGACUCCUACGGGAGGCAGCAGUGGGGAAUAUUGGACAAUGGGCGCAAGCCUGAUCCAGCCAUACCGCGUGGGUGAAGAAGGCCUUCGGGUUGUAAAGCCCUUUUGUUGGGAAAGAAAAGCAAUCGAUUAAUACUCGGUUGUUCUGACGGUACCCAAAGAAUAAGCACCGGCUAACUUCGUGCCAGCAGCCGCGGUAAUACGAAGGGUGCAGCGUUACUCCGGAAUUACUGGGCGUAAAGCGUGCGUAGGUGGUUGUUUAAGUCUGUUGUGAAAGCCCUGGGCUCAACCUGGGAAUUGCAGUGGAUACUGGGCGACUAGAGUGUGGUAGAGGGUAGUGGAAUUCCCGGUGUAGCAGUGAAAUGCGUAGAGAUCGGGAGGAACAUCCAUGGCGAAGGCAGCUACCUGGACCAACACUGACACUGAGGCACGAAAGCGUGGGGAGCAAACAGGAUUAGA
rnacentral:rRNA from 1 species